rnacentral:lncRNA from 1 species
GCCUAACCAAUCCGCACAUUCCGUCCCGCAGGCCCCAGGGAUUGGUUGACUGGUGGACACGUGACGGAACGAAUCUUGGGAGACUCGCUGGGGCUUCUGCUGGGAGAAUUGAGGAAGAGAAGCUUUCUCUUUGCUGGGACUGCUGGCGCCAAGAGGGAUACUUGGAGCUAUGAAGAGUGAACCUGGAGCUGCUGGGGAUCCAUAUGGAGAAAACUUGC